GAUGAACGCUGGCGGCGUGCUUAACACAUGCAAGUCGAGCGAACGGACGCGAAUCUUUCUUCGCUGAUGUUAGCAGCGGACGGGUGAGUCAUAAGUGGAUAACCUAUCUCUCAGACUGAGACAAGUUCGACAAACCGGAGCACAUACCGGAUACUAUUUUGACCCGCUUGGUUUAGAAGUGAAAGACGGUCUUGCUGUCACUUAUCGACGGAUCCGCGCGGCAUUAGCUUGUUGGUAAGCUAACGCCUUGCCAGGUCAACGAUGGACAGCCGACCCGAGCGGGGGGUCGCCCACACGGGAGCGGGGCCACGGUCCAGAGGACUACGGGAGGCAGCAGUAGCGAACCGGCCGCAAUGGGCGAAAGUCUGACAGAGCAGCGCAACGUGAGUGAUGACGGGCUUCGGAUCGUAAAACCCUGUUAUUAGUGAAAAACCUAUGUGAAAGGGACUGAGCCCAUAGUGACGGUACCUAAUCAGAAAGCCACGGCUAACUACGUG
rnacentral:rRNA from 1 species